rnacentral:snRNA from 1 species
GCACUCACCUGGCAGGGGAGAUGACACGAUCACAGAAGUUGUUUUCUUAGAGCAAGACUUAUCCAUUGUGUUCCAGAUGUGCUGAUCACUGUGAUUUCCCUAGAUUGAGAAACUUGACUGCCUAAUUUGUGGUUGUGAAGGACUCCAUUU